AUUGAACGCUGGCGGCAGGCCUAACACAUGCAAGUCGAGCGUGAAAGUCCUUCGGGAUGAGUAAAGCGGCGGACGGGUGAGUAACGCGUAGGAAUCUACCUAGUAGUGGGGGAUAACGUUUCGAAAGGAACGCUAAUACCGCAUACGUUCUGAGGAAGAAAGCAGGGGCUCGCAAGACCUUGCGCUAUUAGAUGAGCCUGCGUCCGAUUAGCUAGUUGGUGGGUAAAGGCCUACCAAGGCGACGAUCGGUAACUGGUCUGAGAGGAUGAUCAGUCACACUGGAACUGAGACACGGUCCAGACUCCUACGGGAGGCAGCAGUGGGGAAUAUUGGACAAUGGGGGCAACCCUGAUCCAGCCAUGCCGCGUGUGUGAAGAAGGCCUCGGUGUAAGCACUUUAAGUCGGGGAGGGAAGGGCUUACGGUUAAUACCUGUGAGCAUUGACGUUACCCGCA
rnacentral:rRNA from 1 species